AUGCUACUGGAAUGGAACAUUGGCCUUACAGCACAAAAGGACCGGAAUGGGAGCACCCCCCUUCACUUUGCAACAUCAAUUCUACAUGCAAGAGCUAACCCAACUCCAAUGUAUCAGGCAGAUGGUCAGGGACUAUUCCCUAUACACAUUGCUGCUUCCAUAGGUGUGAACAAAGCCAUUGUCAAACUUUUAGACAAGGGAAGAACUUUCCUUCAUGUCGCUAUCGAAAAGAAGAAAUGGAACAUAGUCGCACUUGCUUGCCAAACUCAGUCGUUAUCAUGGAUUUUGAACAUGCAAGACAAUGAAGGAAACACUGUGCUACACCUAAGUGUAAUGCUUGGGCAUCAGGACAUCUUCUUUUUGCUCCUGGAGAAUCCUGAAGUGCGGUUAAAUCUAACAAAUAAAAAGGGGGAAACUCCUCUAGAUCUAUCGCAGAGUAAGAUUCGCGCUGGAUGUUUUUGUGCAUGGAACCCCAGAUUUGUGAUGAAUGCUGCCUUAAUAUAUUGUCGCGCUAAACAUGGCAAUCGCCGAUUGGAUCACUUUGAAGAACAGUACAUUCAAGCAGAGGAUGAAGAGAAAGAGUCAGACAAACUGACAGCUUCGACUCAAACAUUAGGCAUUGGGUCAGUGCUAAUGGCAACUGUGGCGUUUACUGCAACAUUCACUCCACCAGGGGAUUACAGUGACAAUGGCACACCGAAUCUUUCUAGGAGGUAUGUUUUUUAUGCAUUCAUCGCGGCCAACUCGCUGGCAUUCGGGUGCUCUGGUUUAACUACUAUCAACCUCAUGUACUCUGGGACAGCUAUCGUCAACGUGCCUUUGCGCAGCAAACACUUUGACGUAGCUGUGGUCUUCGUGUUUUGUUCGGUCACGAGCUUGGCUACAGCCUUUGUGCUAGGCUAUGUGGUGUUGGACCCAUUUGCCCAUAUGACUUCAGUUGCAGUGUGUGUAGUGGCUUCUCUUUUGUGUCUGUGUGGAUACAUAGACCCCCUGCGAGGCCAAGCUGUAGCUAGAGCUUUAUUUCAUAGAAUGGGUUAUCCAGCACUGGUGAUAUCCGCACGCAUUCUCAUCAUCCGGACAGCGAUGGUGUACUUGUGA
rnacentral:rRNA from 1 species